GACUGAGCUAACAGAUGAGAAUCCUAGUCAUUGGCCAAGCAGCUUUGAACCUAAUACAAGUUUCUGUGUAUUCAUUUGGGCCCUAACUCGGGCAGGCAGCUUGCGUAAAACUCACACGUGACGGUGGGGCUCGGGCGGCCUUUGGCAGAAAUAUUUAUUGUAACAGCAGAACUGUUUUUAUAUGUAUAUGUUUGCACAUGUGUGUGCUUAUGUUUCAAUUUUAUGAUUAACAUUAUUGAAAAAGUAAAUUAUUAAUAACUUGUCACCUUAAUUUUUAACCAUUAUUUUUUUAAUUUCAUUCCCAGUGAAUAUACAAGCAAAACACUAGCUGCAGCUACCUUUUAUGAACAGUGCUUAACUUGAACUUGGCAUUGGACCAUUCUCUCUCAACCUCAGCAACAAUUCAAAAUGGUGUGUUAUUAUGUUAAAACCCAAAGGACUGCUUUGUUCUAUCUCAGCUGCCAUAAAGGAGACAGUAUGAAGAAGAGAAACCCAUGCAAUGAGCCACCCAGAAAACAACCUGUGAUGGCUUGUCUGGGGCAGAAAGAUGAAAGUUACUCUCCUGCAUCUCACAAGUAUAAGACUGGUCCAAAUCCUCCCUGAUAAGCAUCAAACAGAGACAAGCAGUUACAAGAAAUUCCUCCAGCAGCCAAAUAAAUAUUGGCACACUAAGAAAUAAUCUGCUGAUGGAAAUAGAGGCACUGAAAAUCAUCCCACAACUUGUCAAUCCCAAAUCCAGUGCAAAUCCCCAUCAUGACAGAAUCAGGAAGAUGUCCAAGCAAGUCACUUCUAGCCAACAUAAAAACAGUUAUUCCAGCUUUUAUUUCCUCCUCUUGGCAGCUCUGUACAUUCCCAUCCACCCCACAAAGCUUUCCUUGCUGUGUAUUUACUUUGGUAGCAAAGGCAGUUUAACUGAGAAAUUCACUGAGCAUUUAUAUUUAUUGAUUUGCCAAUAGAGUACCCUCAACAGCCCCCUGCCCCUGCCCAACACUGAGUAGAAAAACUAUUUUAAAGGUCCCUGGUUCCCUAUCUGUUUAAAAUACUCCUUUGUCUCUUGAGCAAAACACUGUGGUAUGACAGAGAGAGGAUAGAACAGGAAAUGCUCUUAAUCUAGUCCCAGAAUAUUUAUGGGGGUAAUUUGGUGAUAAUUUUCUUAUAUAAAGUCAUAGGCUUUUUAUGUUAGUAGGAUAUUAUACUUCAUGCAAUGCUCUUUGAAACAUUAUAUUUAUAUGGGAAUAAGUAAAGCUAUUAAUAUAAACAAUGUGAUAUAAAAGGACUGACUUUUUAGGAACAACACAUUAUUGCUGUCUGUACACAUGUAUGGCAUAAACAUGUCAUAGCAGCCAAGUUUAGUUCUAUAAUGAUUUCUAUAAUGAUUUCUUUUGAGUUGGUUCUCUCCUUAUACCUUCAUGUGAGUUCCAGGAAUCAAACUCGGGUCUUCAGGCUUACACAGCAAUCAUCUCAAUUAUCCAUUGAGCCACCUUUCUAGUCCAUGAGCAGAUACUUCAAAUGAUCUUUUGAUGACAUUUCUUAUUGAAGUAGGUUACUGUCAUCUGCAUUAUUGUCUCAGUCACUGAAAGGUAGAGCCUUCAGUAAGGUUCCCCUGGAGUUUGUGAUUGUCAAGUACUGUUAGCUACUCGGCAAUUUGCUUUUCUUCAAAGACAUCUUCAGAUUUUUGGAAUUAAUAUUACCAGUCAGUGUGAUUUAAAUUUGACCUUGCAAUACUGUACAAGUAACCAAACAAUGGGGAAAUAGUGGAAAUAAGUGGUUUGUUUUUUACUUGAAAUCACAACUAUUGUUCAAGUAAAUAAUUUAAUGUCUUGUAAUUAUCAAAAGUGGCAUGUGUAUCUCCUGAUCUUGUGCUGAAUAAUACUCAGAUAUGAUUGAAGUGUGAAUAUAGGCUUUGAGAAUAAUUUUAAUAGCUGAAAAUUAACAUUCCUUCUUCCCCAUGCUCUGUGUCUUACUGUUCAUAUACUUGUGAUAUACAGGAGGACUACUAUCACUAUGCAGCCAAGCUGUGUAGUAAGUAUGAAGUAGAGCUCGGAACAAUAUCCAAACACAUGCUUACGACAUUACAAAGCACAGCUUUCAAAAUCAUCCAUUGACAGGGAUGAUAGCACAACAGCCUUUUCAGCCACCUGCCAUUGAGAAUUGUACUCCAUCAUACAGUAAAUGGGUCCUGGGUCCUGUGCUAUAAUGGAACUUCUUCUCAAAACAUUAUUUUGUUAUUACAGCUAAUAAUAAAAUCUAACUGAAUAUUUUAAGUCAUGGAUAGAGACACUGAAUAAAAACUACUGGAGUAAGUAAGGCUGAAGAAGUCUUGUUCUCUGAUCCCAAGCAUGUGCUAGGAUGGGAACUUCUGGAAAUUUCCAGACAAAUAAACAAAAAAACCUAAUGUAGAAAGAAGAAUGUGAUUAUUUAACAUCUGACUAUGGAACAUAAAAUGGAGGGAUCACCAACUAAAUGAGACGAUAUUCUCUCACCACAGAGCUUUAGAGAUACACCCUCAACUUGAAACUCAUUCUUUGCCUAAUGUAUCUGAGGAAAGAUCUCAGCUUACUGGAAGAGCCAAGCAGCCCUACUUAACAGAUAUACAAUUUAUUCAUAGAAGCUACUUACUGUGUGCAAUUCAUGGGCUAUCUUUGUUCAGGGGUUAAAAUUUUGUUGCACUGAAGAACAAAAGGUGGUGUGAAGUCAGGCUCUUUCGGUGAAUAUCUGAGGUCAAAUGGCACAGUGCAUUAAGUCAAUGGGAUAUCUGACUUAAAAACGAUUCAGACCGAAUGAGCCAGAGUCAGGGAGAGGAUGCCUGCGCCAGGUUUUAAAGUUAAAAGGACCCCCGUGCUGGAAUUAGCUGGCUAUAAUUUUGGAUUAAUGAUCAAGUAAUAGCAGCAUUAAAAAGUGCAGAGUCGCAGCAUUUGAUGAAUGGAUAUCACAAUGCAUCACGAUGGGCAUUAAGGUAAGAGCUAAUAGCAGCUUAAACAGCACCCAAGAUCCAUAAAGAGUAGGUUACAGCUAAAUAUAGAGGACAGAGAACCUGGAUUUACCUGCAAUGUGAGCCAGCAGCUGAACCAGAUGAAUGCCAAAUGUUGCCCUCUUUAUGAUAAUCACAGAGAUUUAAAGCAUAUAGAUGGUCUGUGGCCACAGAUAGAUGACAUAUUGUCCCAGGUGUCCAAGCUGCUGCAUUUAGGCAAAUAAUUAUGGCCAGAAUUAAAUAUGACUAUAGAUGGUCUUCCAUUGAUUUUUGUUCUGUCUAUAAAGUCUGUCAUAUAAGGAAAGGGAAGAAGCAGGUUUAGGCACAGGGUGACAAUGUACCAUGAGGCAAAUUCAACAAAGCUGUAGCUAGCCAAGACGACAGUUUUAGAAAGAGUCAUGUGCCUACUCUUACUGUUGACAUGAAUUAAAUAAAAAUACCCAGAAAAGUUGCAACACUAGCCCCCAUUGAGCUACAAUAUUGGGAUAAUUAGCAAAGGCAUGACCCUAGAGACCUGUUAUGUAGAAAAGUAAAAACCACUUGUUAAAGGCUAGCAUGGUUUAAGAGAGAGACAGAAUACUGCAAAGUCUUGGACAGGAAUGAUGGAUUCACAGUCAGGACAAAGGUAGCAGAUACACAAUGAGAUUUGGAAAAAGAAAGGCAUAAGAAUAAAAUAUAAUCCAGUUGGCAUUGAAGGGAAGCUUGUUAGCAUGUGUGUUUCCUGUUUUACUUGUAUCAGACCAGGAAACUACUAGUGUAAAAAACCUCCCUCUUCAUGUUCACUGACCAAGUCUUUAGAGUGGAGUUGUGUCUUAUUUACAGAAUGUAAUUUGAGACACUUGGAGAACUAAAUAAAUGUGGAGUAAAAAUAACUUGUGCCAUUUCUGGUGAGGUGAGGUCUCAAUUGAUGCCUAUUAAAUACAAUAAAUCAUGAGGACCUACAGUUGCUUCUAUUGAAUCUCUUUAUUCCCCUGCAUUAGAGCUUCCAAUUUAUGAGCCCAUCAACUGUAAUGGAGAAUUGGAAAUAAUGUCUCAACUUUAGUAGACAUAAUGAGAAAUCUGGGAUCUCUCCACUUUGUAGGUAAUCUCAGGGUAGUAUGAGGAAACACUCCUCAUGAUUAUACUGGAGAACCCGAAUUCCCUUGUCUCAAAGCAGCAUCACUCUUCAUGGAAUAUAACCAUGUAUUAUCAAAAUAUCCCUGGAUGUGAUGUUCAUUAGGAAGUAGGAUAUGAC